GAUGAACGCUAGCGGGAGGCCUAACACAUGCAAGCCGAGCGGUAUUGUUUCUUCGGAAAUGAGAGAGCGGCGUACGGGUGCGUAACACGUGUGCAACCUGCCUUUAUCUGGGGGAUAGCCUUUCGAAAGGAAGAUUAAUACUCUAUAAUAUAUUGAACGGCAUCGUUUAAUAUUGAAAGCUCCGGCGGAUAGAGAUGGGCACGCGCAAGAUUAGCUAGUUGGUGAGGUAACGGCUCACCAAGGCGAUGAUCUUUAGGGGGCCUGAGAGGGUGAUCCCCCACACUGGUACUGAGACACGGAACAGACUCCUACGGAAGGCAGCAGUAAGGAAUAUUGGUCAAUGGGUGCAAGCCUGAACCAGCCAUCCCGCGUGAAGGACGACUGCCCUAUGGGUUGUAAACUUCUUUUGUAUAGGGAUAAACCUACCCUCGUGAGGGUAGCUGAAGGUACUAUACGAAUAAGCACCGGCUAACUCCGUGCCAGCCGCCGCAGUAA
rnacentral:rRNA from 1 species